CUGCAGGAACACAGGAACCGGGCACUGCUAAGGCUCUGGAAGAAUGAGGACCAGGACCAUGGAGUGGCACAACAAUAGUGAGAGGCACCAUGAUGGCGCAGGCCCCCGAGCAGAUCUGACCACCCGAGCACAUCUGGUACCUACACCGUAAACCGUAAUCAUCAAGAUGAAAAAAAAAUCCCAUCUGGUGCCAGAGAGCUGCAGAGACCUGGGAAGCCUCCUCAUUGUCCUGUUAACGUGGAGUGACGUGGAAAGGCGUUCUCUCCUCCUGUUUACUUUGUUUUAAAUAUUGUCCAUAUUUGUGUUAUAGGUCAAUUAAAAAAAUAUAUGGUU